rnacentral:rRNA from 1 species
UACGUAGGGUGCGAGCGUUAAUCGGAAUUACUGGGCGUAAAGCGUGCGCAGACGGUUUUGUAAGCCAGAUGUGAAAUCCCCGGGCUUAACCUGGGAAUGGCAUUUGGGACUGCAAGGCUUGAGUGCGGCAGAGGAGACUGGAAUUCCUGGUGUAGCAGUGAAAUGCGUAGAUAUCAGGAGGAAUACCGAUGGCGAAGGCAGGUCUCUGGGCUGACACUGACGCUCAUGCACGAAAGCGUGGGGAGCAAACAGG